UACGGAGGGUGCAAGCGUUAAUCGGAUUUACUGGGCGUAAAGCGUUCGUAGGUGGUUUGUCAAGUUGGAUGUGAAAGCCCAGGGCUCAACCUUGGAAUUGCAUCCAAAACUGGCUCACUAGAGUAUGUGAGAGGGGGGUAGAAUUUCUGGUGUAGCGGUGAAAUGCGUAGAGAUCAGAAAGAAUACCGAUGGCGAAGGCA
rnacentral:rRNA from 1 species